rnacentral:ncRNA from 2 species
GGGUCUGACAAAAUAUUUUUGCCAGAGGUCGUUCGGGAUGGUCGGGCCGCCAUUC